rnacentral:ncRNA from 2 species
GACAGGUGUCUGUAUAUCAGACUUAAUAGAGAAUCCGGUAUAAGCCGGAACGGUCCCGCCACUGUAAGGCAGAGGGCGGCACAUUUAUGUCACUGGGGCAGCACAUUGCGGCGUAAAGGCGUGAUGGCUCUGGGAAGGCGUGCCAACCGAUGAAGCCGAGUCAGGAGAACUGCCUGUUCAA